UACGUAGGGGGCGAGCGUUGUCCGGAAUCAUUGGGCGUAAAGCGCGUGUAGGCGGUCCGGUAAGUCCGCUGUGGAAGUCGGGGGCUCAACCCUCGGAUGCCGGUGGAUACUGUCGGGCUUGAGUACGGAAGAGGCGAGUGGAAUUCCUGGUGUAGCGGUGAAAUGCGCAGAUAUCAGGAGGAACACCAAUUGCGAAGGCAGCUCGCUGGGACGUUACUGACGCUGAGACGCGAAAGCGUGGGGAGCAAACAGG
rnacentral:rRNA from 1 species